GACUCCGUGGCGCAACGGUAGCGCAUCUGACUUCAGAUCUGAAAGUUGCGUGUUCAAAUCACGUCGGGGUCA
rnacentral:tRNA from 1 species